CAAUACAGGCUAUAUAAUUCCUCUACCCUAACCCUUCCGCCUCAUCCUCUGUAAUAUCACAAUUUCUCCCACGGCGGCGGAGGAAAGCAGCGAAACAAGUUCAUCUUUCAACCCACCAAUUAUUUUCACCCCGGCAGAAACCGAGGGAGGAGAACAAAAUACAGGAGCCAUGAUUCGUUUGCUUAAAACAGUUUGUUCACAAUCUGCAAUUGAAGGUUGAGCUGCGACAAGCUUGGGGUGGUGUUGAGUCGAGCCUUAAUCAUCGUUGGAUUUAUUUUGAAUCUCCGAGGGGCGUCGUGUCUUCAUACAUGGCGUCACUCUUACUCUUGAAUGCUUCCGCUGAGAUAAUACAUUCUUUCACAACUAUGUUAUCAACCCUGUUUCCUAUUGGUUUAUUAAAUAUGAUACCCGUUGUCUUUGGAUUUAAAUGCUAAGGCAUUACUCUGAUUAUUCCUCAUUAUUUGAAUAUUAAUUAUCUUUGUCA